rnacentral:miRNA from 1 species
GACUGAGCUCGUCCAUUCAUCU